rnacentral:misc_RNA from 1 species
GCUCUUUUCAACAUGCAGGCAACUUUAUAAUAUCUCAAAUAGACGGAGGAAUGUUCAUCCUAGGUUCCUUAACAUAGGUAGUACAACACCAUUUUCACUAUCUGUACUUCAGUAACUCGUGACUGUGCCAUAACUGAAGUAUUACACGGCUCUACAUUAUUCACUGUAAAGAAGUUUGCAAGUGUUACACAGCUCUACAUGUAUUCAUCGUAAAGAAGUGUGCCACUGACAGCUCUACAUUUAUUCAUCGUAUAGAAGUUUACUAAAGGCAAAUGCAUUCAGAAAUAGAAUGUGCAGCAAACAGCUAACAAUUCUGCCAAAAUGCAACUCCAGUUAUGCCAAGGGUUUGAGAAGGGAACUUCAUAGAUGAUGGAUGGCCUUCAGCAUGUGGCAUCAGGCUGUUUUUCUGGCAUAGCAUCCUGGAAAGCAGGCAGCUCUUGGUAAGCCUCAAAUACCCUCAACAGAGUAGGGAAUUGAUUCAUGUCAACUUCAAAACGCUUGAUUGCUGCAUGGAUCUGAGGUGCCAGAAACAAGUCGGCCAUGUAAACUUCAUCUCCUGUUGCAUACUUCCCAGCAUAAUCUUUAAGUAGCUUUUCAAGUGCUUCAAAGCCUUUUGUUAUAUGACCUUGAACCCAAGGGGUUGUCUCAUCAGGGCCAAUUUUUUCCUGGAUGUACUUGAGUACAGCAAGAUUCUGUAGAGGCUGAAUGUUUGCCGAAACAAUGUUUGCAGCCUGAUAGUUGAUUGCUCUUUUCUGACAAUCCUGAGGCAACAAUGCUCGCUGGGGAUACUUCUCUUCCAGAUACAUUAAGAUAGCAAAAGAGUCUGCUAUUACUGCAUCUCCAUCCACCAAUGUGGGCACAUAUCCAAGGGGAUUCAGCUUCAAGUAUUCAGGGUCCCUUUGUUCUCCUUUAAGCAAGUUAACAGCUUUAUACUCAUAAUCCAAUCCUUUCAAAUUGAGAGCUAUUCGAACACGAAAUGCACAUGAACUCCUCCAAUAUGAGUAGAGCUGCAACUUCUUUGAUUCCUCCCCACUCCCUGCCAUAUCAAUAUCAAAUCUUCGUACUGCCAGAAAUGAUCAACAAAGACGGAAUAUCUGGUACUAACAUAUAUACUGAUACAGUUGGUACCAAAGUUGAAUUUUCCCUCUUGUCG